rnacentral:rRNA from 1 species
AAUGAACGCUAGCGGCAGGCUUAAUACAUGCAAGUCGAGGGACAGCACAGGUAGCAAUACUGGGUGGUAACCGGCAAACGGGUGCGGAACACGUACACAACCUUCCUUUAAGUGGGGAAUAGCCCAGAGAAAUUUGGAUUAAUACCCCGUAAUAUAGUUGAAUGGCAUCAUUUGAUUAUUAUAGCUACGGCGCUUAAUGAUGGGUGUGCGGCUGAUUAGAUAGUUGGCGGGGUAACGGCCCACCAAGUCUACGAUCAGUAGCUGAUGUGAGAGCAUGAUCAGCCACACGGGCACUGAGACACGGGCCCGACUCCUACGGGAGGCAGCAGUAAGGAAUAUUGGUCAAUGGACGCAAGUCUGAACCAGCCAUGCCGCGUGAAGGAUUAAGGUCCCCUGGAUUGUAAACUUCUUUUAUUUGGGACGAAAAAGGGCCUUUCUAGGUCAACUGACGGUACCAGAUGAAUAAGCACCGGCUAACUCCGUGCCAGCCGCCGCCGUAAGAC